CACAUUGAAGCACCAGUUCCCAUAUGAUCCCCAAAGUUAAGCAAUGUUGAGUGUCACCAGUACCUAGAUGAGUAACUGCUUAGGAAUAACAGGUGUUGUAA